GGGAAUCUCGUGGAUAAGCUCGGCGUGUAUGGAGCGCGGGCUGGGUGGAGAUGCUUGUCGCUCGCUCGGCGAGUAGUAGGAGGAAGAUUCCUGUGCCGCAGUGCGUCCAUCCUCUACACAGGGUCGUCACUCAGUCAAGCAACAUCAUAUUCAUAUCUGCGGUUUGGUGGAUUUGGGAUUUUAGACCACCAUCGGCGAGGCGCGCGCUCCGGUCGGGGUCGGGCGCAGGGGAGACUGCCGCAGUCCGUCCAUCCUCUACACCUACAAGUGCUGCCUCGAGCGAGCGGAUCUGGCUGGGUGAAGCCUCGGGCGGCGAGAUUGGGCUUGGCCGGACCGUUGGAGGAAGCCAUCGAUCCUGCUCCCAAGUCCCAACCCGAUCCGCGUGGGGCAGGUUUUCCUCCACCCUACACGGUAGCAACUCGGGCGCUUUCAUAACAAGAAUCUCGAUAUAAUUCAUCACUUCUUCAAAACUUGCUUAGUCCAAACCAGAAGGCUUACAACAAUGGCAUAUGUGGUUGGAAUAGUCAACACUCUGAUUACUCCAAUUUACCAUAUCGUCUUCAAGCAUGUAAUGUACCCCUUCACGGCUAGCAGAAACGUGAAGCAUCUCAAAGAAGCAGCCCAGGGUUUGAUCGCCAAGGGCAACGAUGUCCGGUAUGAGAUUGAGAUUGCCGAGAGGAAUGGCAUGACAGCAAAGAAUGAAGUGCGGAAGUGGCUUGAAAAUGUGGACACCAUCAAGUCCGAUGAAGAAGCAAUUAGGCAGGUGUAUGAUGAGAGAUGCCAAGUUUUUGGGUGCAUCUCUCUGAAUUGCUGGUCAAACUACAAAAUCAGCAAGAGUGCAAAAAAGGAGCUUCUGAAAGCCCAAGAGUAUGCCAAGAUUGACACUAGUGUUGUCGCAGUGCAGCCGCUGCCACCAUCGGUCCGAGAAAUGCCUGUCUCAUCCAGUGGACUGCUCAGUGAAGAGCAUAAUAUGCAGGAGGCUGCCAGGUGCAUUAGGAAUUCUCCGGUUGGAAUGAUUGGGAUAUGGGGUCUAGGUGGAGUGGGAAAGACUCAUCUUCUGAAGAAGAUCAACAACUCAUUUCUCGGAGACCCUUUCUUCGAUGUUGUUAUUUUUGUUACAGCCUCAAAAGAUUGUUCAGUGGAGAAAAUCCAAGCUGAAAUAGUAAAGAAACUCAGCUUAAGGAAAGACGACGAUAUAGAGUCUCAAGCCAAUAUCAUUUCUGACUUCCUGAGCAGGAGGAGUUUUCUUGUACUGCUGGAUGACCUCUGGGAACCAUUGGACUUGCAAGCAGCUGGCAUCACACAUCCUCUUGGAUUUGUCGGCCAAUUCAAGAGGAAAGUAGUACUCACAACAAGGUCACGAGUUGUGUGUGGUACAAUGAAGGUCAGAAAAGAGAUAAAAGUGGAUUGCUUGAGGCAAGAUGAGGCAUUGCAGCUCUUCCAAGAGAACGUUGGCCAAGAGAUUCUUUUAUCCAAUCCGCACAUUGGAGCCCUUUCAAGAGAGCUUGUGACGGAGCUGAAGGGCCUGCCCUUGGCGUUGAUAGCUACCGGAAAGGCAAUGUAUCCAAAGAAAGAUCCAGGUGAAUGGGAAACAGCUAUUCGUCUACUGCGACGAUCUGGCCACGAUGCGGAUGAUCCAACGUCUGUGGAGAACACAAUUUACUUCAAGUUAAAACUUAGCUAUGAUAGCUUAGGGAAUGAUACCAUGAGACGUUGUUUCCUGGUUUGCUCACUGUGGCCAGAAGAUUCUCCUAUUGCUAAAGAUGAUCUGAUCCAGUGUUGGAUGGGCUUAGGUCUGCUUAAUAAGUGCGACGUACAGAGUUCUUACAGUGAAGGCUACAACAUAAUAGGCCACCUGCAAGCUGCAUCUUUGCUGGAAGGUAGUGAGGACAGUAGUAAGCACCUCAAAAUGCAUGAUGUGAUCCGUGAUAUGGCGAUAUGGAUAUCUUGCGGCUGCGGUGAAAACAAUAACAAAUGGGUCGUUCACGCAGCGAUCGGCAAAACUGCGUCUAGAAAGUGCAUCCCUUGGAACAGGGUGGAGUAUCUGUCAAUGAUGGGCAACGGACUGGAAGAACUUCCGUAUCUUGGUGGUGGCGUGAAUGAAAAUAGCAUGGGCUGCAGUGUCAGAUCCAAGUGUUUUCUUGGUUCUGGUUCCACAGAACUCAGGACACUGCUUCUUCAAGAUAAUAAGUUCAACGAGAAGGCACUUGGAAAUAUUUACCUCUUCACUUCAUUGACAUACCUAGAUUUGAGUCAGAACCACAUUCGUGUUCUGCCUUUAGCAGUCUGUGCUCUGGGAGAUCUAGAGUACCUCAACCUGUCUUACAAUUACAUCACUGAGUUGCCCAAGGACCUUCGACACCUCACCAAGCUCAAAUUCCUAUACCUAAGAGGCAACCCGAUACACACCGUACCAAAGGGCACCAUAUCAAGGCUGCAGGAACUGCAAGUGCUUGACCUGCUGUCGUCCCAGGUCUCGACACACGCAAACUAUACUCUAUCAUUGUUCCCAGAAUUGGACUUGCUGGAUAACUUGAAAGCUGUGGAGGUCGGGGUCAAAGGUGACGCGGCAUAUGAACUGCUAGGCAAGUUUCCGGGCCUCCCUGUUAGAUCCAUCCAUCUGAGCAGGCUGACAGGGACACCAACAUUCUGCUUCCUAGAUGGCUGCUUCUCGAGCUCCUCGGUGCAAGCGAGCCUAUACGACCUGACGAUCUACAAGUGCUGCAUGCAGCAGAUACUGGUGAGAAGCGGCGCGGAAGGAGCAGUCUCCCAGUUGGACGUGCUCAGAUCGCUCACGCUCGACAGCCUGCGCAGCCUGAAGGGGGUCAUCUGGAAGAGAGUGGCUCCGGAGUCUCUUUUUCCGAGGCUGACCUACCUGGCAGUCGUGCACUGCCAGAGUCUCAGGCACAUUUCAUGGGCCAUGCACCUGCCUUGCCUCGAGAGGAUCCUUGUGAACAACUGCGGCGGCAUGAAACAGAUCGUCCGGACCAAGAAGAAGGACGGCGGCGCUGGGGAAGAAGACAGGGGGCAAGCACCGGUCCAUGGCUUCCCUUGCCUCAGAUACCUUGAGCUGCAGAGCCUUCCCGGGCUGUCGAGCCUCUGCGACCCCGAGGUGACAUUCCCGUCCCUUGAGACCAUGGAGAUAUCCUUCUGUCCAAAGCUGAAGAGGCUCCCGUUCCUGAUGACAACCAUGCCGCGGAGGCUGCGCAACAUCAGCGUCCCCCUUGUCCAGAUGAGGUGGUGGGAGUCGCUGGAGUGGGUCGACGAGGGCGUCAAGCGUGCCGUGCAGCCUCUUGUUAAUUCGGACAUCACAGAUCAGCUGGAGCAGAGUCCUAUUUAGUGUACUUGAAUGAUUGAGAUCCCAGAGCACACAUUCAACCUUGAGCCACUGCUCAUCAGUCAAAGAUUGAUGGCCAGAUAUGACGCGGUUCCAUAACCAUUGUCUCGUCAGGCUUCAGCAAUACGUUGGACUUUGUCAUUAUCGACAUGUAAUGCUCGUAGUAUAAUCACAAGACGAGAGAAUGCAGUGGAGGACGAGAUACUUUUCAACCAGUCAUCGUAUAUGUUAUAAAGAACCAUCUGGUGAGUUCCAUGAUGUGGCUAAAUGGAUAUGCAUCUCAUCUCCUUGACUUGGGGAUUAUCCUGCCCAUACAGGAAACCUUCAGAAAUACUUGACCAGUUGUUGGAUUGAAAAUA
rnacentral:rRNA from 1 species